rnacentral:rRNA from 1 species
GAGUGCGGUCAUACUAGGACUAAUGCAUCAGAUCCCAUUACAACUCCGCAGCUCAGCGUGCUUGGGCGAGAGUAGUUCUAGGAUGGGUGACCUCUUGGGAAUUCCUUGUGUUGCAUCCU